CGGAAAGCUUGUGCUGACUGAAGCUCAGAAUGGCGGUUUUGGUUACGUAAUUCCAGGAUGAAUCUCUUCAACCUCUAGACUUCGGAAGCUGCCCACAAAAGACAAAAGGAAUGAUGUCUCAAUUAAGGCUGUAAAACUGCCAGGGGCCUGAUCAGGUAGUAAAUAGAUAAUAUGCAGUUUUGUGAAGCUAUCUUAUAUGAAAUCUCGAGUUUUAAAGACUAUGCUUGGGCACCACCGUUUUAGGAUUUCCUGACUGCUGUUUUCAUUGGCACUGGGCUUUAUUCACAACUUAAUAUGACACUUUUACCCAGUAUUUGCUAGCUGAUACACAUUUGAGUCUGAUUCCUGAUCUGGGGCCACCAGAUAGAAAGAACUGAAGAGGACUAAAGGAUCCCAAUUUCCUAUCAGCUGAAGAAAGGGUUAAAAAAAUUGGUAUAUCCAUAAAAUGGAGUAUUAUUCAGCAAUAAAAUGGAACCAACUACGUGCUACAACAUGGAUGAACCUUGAAAACAUGCUAAAUGAAAAUGUCAGUAACAAUAGACCACAAAUUGUAUGAGUCCAUUUACAUGAAAUGUCCAGAGUAAACAAACCCACCGAAACAGAAAGUAGAUUGGUGGUUGCCUAGGCCUGGGGCAUGGGUGAGGUAUGGUCAAAGCAGACCACUAAUGAGAAAGGCAUUUCUCUUAGGGGUGAGGAAAUGUUCUAAAAUCUACUGUGGUGAUAGUUGUGUAACUCCAUGAAUAUACAAACUAGUGAAAGGUACACUUUACACAGGAAAAUCGUAUGGUAUGUGAAUUAUAUCUCAACAAAACUAUUAGGAAGAGCUAAAGGGCAGAGAAGCCUGAGGCCAGCCUGCAUAGAAGUCUGUGGACUGGAGAGGAGGGUUGCAGAACUGGUUCAAAGGUGGAGUCCUGUUUUCCUGUUGAUCGCGGUGGUACUUGGAGGCUUUAAAACUUGAAUGGUAAGGGCUAUAGGAUUGGAAGGAUGAGGAUUCAAUGACCUUGCUUUGGACCAAUGCCCAUUCAGGGGUGGGAAGGGGCCACAAGCAGGGCCAGCCGGGCAAGGAAUAGUGGCAGCAAUACGUAAUACUGGUCAAGGUCUAUUUUAUCAGACAGUCUAAACCUCAGGAUGGGGCCCAGGUGGUGGCAGUAAUAAUUCCAAAUGGGAAGGGCAUGGGCAAAGGGCACCAAAAUGAUCUUAUAUCUGACUUUUCAUUAACCUUGGUGAGUGAUGACUUUAAUUGAAUUUUAGAAAAAUUAAAAAGGCCAUUUCUUUUUGGGGUGUUUGUGUUGUAUGGGCACACACACUUGUCAAGUACCAAAAUGUGAGAUUAAUUGGUUCUUUUAUAAAACAAGGUUCAAUCAAGACUUCCCUGGGUGUAAAGACCAUCUUGCCCCUGCAUCUGCCCAUUCUCUCCAGAGCAGCAGAGGACAAGAGUGGGGUUAGAGCAAGUGCACCAUGAAUCCCCAUACCCUUUAACCCUUCUUUAUCUGUGCUGCCUCUUGAGCACUCUGGGAAUAUGGAGAUGUGUGAAGAGCCUCUGUCAGGGAUGAUGGGGAAAAAGCUAAGAUAUCUUGAACCCACUCAUGUGUGAAGCACUUACAUAAAAUUAAAAUUUAAAUAGCUGAGUCUUGUCCUCAAGGAAAGUACAGUUUAGUU